rnacentral:rRNA from 1 species
UAAUGACGGUACUUGAGGAGGAAGCCCCGGCUAACUACGUGCCAGCAGCCGCGGUAAUACGUAGGGGGCUAGCGUUAUCCGGAUUUACUGGGCGUAAAGGGUGCGUAGGCGGUCUUUCAAGUCAGGAGUUAAAGGCUACGGCUCAACCGUAGUAAGCUCCUGAUACUGUCUGACUUGAGUGCAGGAGAGGAAAGCGGAAUUCCCAGUGUAGCGGUGAAAUGCGUAGAUAUUGGGAGGAACACCAGUAGCGAAGGCGGCUUUCUGGACUGUAACUGACGCUGAGGC